UUCCGGUUGAUCCUGCCGGAGGCCAUUGCUCUUGGGGUCCGAUUUAGCCAUGCUAGUCGCACGGGUUCAGACCCGUGGCAAAUAGCUCAGUAGCACGUGGCCAAUCUACCCUCCGGAUCAGCACACCCUCGGGAAACUGAGGCCAAUUCUGUAUACGGCUCCCGACCUGGAAUGGUGGGAGCCCGAAACGCUCCGGCGCCGGAGGAUGAGGCUGCGGCCGAUCAGGUUGACGGUGGGGUAAUGGCCCACCGUGCCGAUAAUCGGUCUGGGUCAUGAGAGUGAGAACCCAGAGACGGACUCUGAGACAAGAUUCCGGGCCCUACGGGGCGCAGCAGGCGCGAAACCUUUACACUGCACGCCAGUGCGAUAAGGGGACCCCAAGUGCGCAGGCAUAGUGCCUGCGCUUUUCUGGACUGUAGGGCGGUCCAGGAACAAGGGCUGGGCAAGACCGGUGCCAGCCGCCGCGGUAAUACCGGCAGCCCAAGUGAUGGCCGCUGUUAUUGGGCCUAAAGCGUCCGUAGCUGGCCGCACAAGUCCGUCGGGAAAUCCGCCCGCUCAACGGGCGGCCGUCCGGCGGAACCUGUGUGGCUUGGGACCGGGAGGCCUGAGGGGUACGAUCGGGGUAGGAGUGAAAUCCUGUAAUCCCGCUCGGACCGCCGAUGGGGAAACCACCUCAGGAGAACGGAUCCGACAGUGAGGGACGAAAGCCAGGGUCUCGAACCGGAUUAGAUACCCGGGUAGUCCUGGCCGUAAACGAUGCUUGUUAGGUGUGACUCCCACUACGAGUGGGUGUUGUGCCGUAGGGAAGCCGCUAAACAAGCCGCCUGGGAAGUACGUCUGCAAGGAUGAAACUUAAAGGAAUUGGCGGGGGAGCACUACAACCGGAGGAGCCUGCGGUUUAAUUGGAUUCAACGCCGGA
rnacentral:rRNA from 1 species